rnacentral:misc_RNA from 1 species
GAUGAAGAACGUAGCGAAAUGCGAUAAGUAGUGUGAAUUGCAGAAUUCAGUGAAUCAUCGAAUCUUUGUACGCACAUUGCGCCCCUUGGUAUUCCAUGGGGCAUGCCUGUUCGAGCGUCAUUUACACCCUCAAGCUCAGCUUGGUGUUGGGCGUCUGUCCCGCUUCGUGCGUGGACUCGCCCCAAAGGUAUUGGCAGCGGUCCUUGCCAGCUUCUCGCGCAGCACAUUGCGCUUCUCGAGGCUGGCGGAUCGGCGUCCAUCAAGCCCACUUCCACAGUUUGACCUCGGAUCAGGUAGGGAUACCCGCUGAACUUAAGCAUAUCAAUAAGCGGAGGA